GACGUAGGGCGCGAGCGUUGUCCGGAUUUAUUGGGCGUAAAGAGCUCGUAGGCGGCUUGUCGCGUCGUCCGUGAAAACCUGCAGCUCAACUGCAGGCUUGCGGGCGAUACGGGCAGGCUCGAGUUCGGUAGGGGAGACUGGAAUUCCUGGUGUAGCGGUGAAAUGCGCAGAUAUCAGGAAGAACACCCGUGGCGAAAGCGGCUCUCUGGAACGGUACUGACGCUGAGACGCGAAAGCGUGGGGAGCGAACAGG
rnacentral:rRNA from 1 species